AGUCAUAAUAUAUGCAAAAUCCAGGUACAACCAAAUUAGAAAGGCGCACUAAGCUUCAACAAAGACUGCCCCACCAGAACAGGAAUUGGCCUCCCUGGUGCCGUAUUCGGCCACUA
rnacentral:lncRNA from 1 species